rnacentral:rRNA from 1 species
AGAAUCAACGCUGGCGGCGUGCCUAACACAUGCAAGUCGAACGAGAAAGUGGAGCAAUCCAUGAGUAAAGUGGCGCACGGGUGAGUAACACGUGGCUAACCUACCCUUGAGUGGGGGAUAACCUAGAGAAAUCUGGGCUAAUACCGCAUAAUACCUUCGGGUCAAAGGAGCAAUUCGCUUAAGGAGGGGGUCGCGGCCGAUUAGUUAGUUGGCGGGGUAAUGGCCCACCAAGACUGUGAUCGGUA